rnacentral:rRNA from 1 species
UACGUAGGGUACAAGCGUUAAUCGGAAUUACUGGGCGUAAAGCGAGCGUAGUCGGUUAUUUAAGUCGGGUGUGAAAGCCCCGGGCUCAACCUGGGAAUUGCAUUCGAUACUGGAUAGCUAGAGUUCGGCAGAGGGAAGCGGAAUUUCCGGUGUAGCGGUGAAAUGCGUAGAUAUCGGGAGGAACACCAGUGGCGAAGGCGGUUGCCUGGAGCUUUGCUGACGCUGAGGCGCGAAAGCGUGGGGAGCGAUCCGG